rnacentral:rRNA from 1 species
GACAGAGGUUGCAAACGUUGUUCGGAAUCACUGGGCAUAAAGCGCACGUAGGCGGUCUGUUAAGUCAGGUGUGAAAGCCCCCGGCUCAACCGGGGAACAGCAUCUGAUACUGGCAGACUCGAGGAUGGUAGGGGUGAGUGGAACUCCAGGUGUAGCGGUGAAAUGCGUAGAUAUCUGGAGGAACACCGGUGGCGAAGGCGGCAUCCUGGACCGGCAUUGACGCUGAGGCGCGAAAGCCAGGGGAGCAAAGCGGG